rnacentral:tRNA from 1 species
GCCCUCGUAGCUCAGGGGAUAGAGCGGCGGUUUCCUAAACCGCAGGUCACAGGUUCAAAUCCUGUCGGGGGUA